rnacentral:rRNA from 1 species
GGAUCCGCACAAGAGGUGGAUCAUGUGGUUUAAUUCGUCGGUAAGCGAGGAACCUCACCAGGGUUUGAAACCUAGCUGCAUUAUCCAGAAAUGGAUAAGCCUUAGAGGGUGCUAGGCAGGUGUUGCAUGGUUGUCGUCAGCUCGUGUCGUAAGAUGUUCCGUUAAGUCGGGAAACGAGCGCAACCCCUUUCGUGUGUUAUAUAUGUCACGCGAUACUGCCCCAUACUUUGAUCAUAAAUAUUUUGUGAACAAAGUAUGGGGAGGAAGGAGGGGAUGACGUCAAAUCCGCAUGGCCCUUUGACACCCUGGGCAACACACGUGAUACAAUGGCUGGUUACAAAGGGUUGCCAAGUCGCGAGACGGAGCUAAUCCCAGAAAACCAGUCUCAGUUCGGACUGGAGUCUGCAACUCGACUCCACGAAGCCGGAAUCUCUAGUAAUCGUGAAUCAUAACGUCACGGUGAAUACGUUCUCGGAUCUU